AGAUUGAACGCUAGCGGCAUGCCUAGCACAUGCAAGUCGAACGGUAACAGGCCCUUCGGGGUGCUGACGAGUGGCGGACGGGUGAGUAAUGCGUAGGAAUCUACCCACGAGUGGGGGAUAGCCCGGAGAAAUCCGGAUUAAUACCGCAUAUGCCCUACGGGGUAAAGCGGGGGAUCGUAAGACCUCGCGCUGGUGGAUGAGCCUACGUCCGAUUAGUUAGUUGUGGGGUAAAGGCCUACCUAAGGCUACGAUCGGUAGCUGGUCUGAGAGGGACGACCCAGGCCACACUGGGACUGAGACAACGGCCCAAGACUCCUACGGGAGGCAGCGA
rnacentral:rRNA from 1 species